rnacentral:rRNA from 1 species
AGAGUUUGAUCCUGGCUCAGGAUGAACGCUGGCGGCGUGCCUAAUACAUGCAAGUCGAACGCACAGCGAAAGGUGCUUGCACCUUUCAAGUGAGUGGCGAACGGGUGAGUAACACGUGGACAACCUGCCUCAAGGCUGGGGAUAACAUUUGGAAACAGAUGCUAAUACCGAAUAAAACUCAGUGUCGCAUGACACAAAGUUAAAAGGCGCUUUGGCGUCACCUAGAGAUGGAUCCGCGGUGCAUUAGUUAGUUGGUGGGGUAAAGGCCUACCAAGACAAUGAUGCAUAGCCGAGUUGAGAGACUGAUCGGCCACAUUGGGACUGAGACACGACCCAAACUCCUACGGGAGGCUGCAGUAGGGAAUCUUCCACAAUGGGCGAAAGCCUGAUGGAGCAACGCCGCGUGUGUGAUGGAGGCUUUCGGGUCGUAAAGCACUGUUGUAUGGGAAGAACAGCUAGAAUAGGGAAUGAUUUUAGUUUGACGGUACCAUACCAGAAAGGGACGGCUAAAUACGUGCCAGCAGCCGCGGUAAUACGUAUGUCCCGAGCGUUAUCCGGAUUUAUUGGGCGUAAAGCGAGCGCAGACGGUUGAUUAAGUCUGAUGUGAAAGCCCGGAG